UGUAUAUCAUGUUUUCAUUUGAAAAGAAACUUUUAGCAUCACUGUAUAGACAAAAGAGUGUGGGUUUUAUCUACUGUUUAUCAAAAAUGAUCAAUUUUUGUUGAAAAGAUCUGUAAUAGAGCUUAUUGUGAGAAAUAGGAACUGCUGGUAAGUAAGAUCUGCAUUUUCGGCAAAGAUCUUCCAUCAGUAUAGAAAAGCAAUCAGAUUUACUAUUUUUAAAUUUUGUUAGCAUUACAUUUUUUGAUGCACCAACUGCAUGGUAUCAAAAUAGUUAUGCAGCUAGUCCAGAGCCCUGGUUUGGAAGGCUCUACAAUUUAUAGGAAAUACUUGUGAAAGAGAAGAAUUCAGGGAAAUUCAGUUGCUGGCUCUUCUGUGCUCUAGAAAAGAAGUAAUAUAUUCUCUAACUUUCUUUUCAAGAAAUAUUUAAUGCAAGUAGCUCUUUUUUUUUUUUUUAAUCCAAUGUGAAACCAAAAUGUCCCCAAUGUACUAAGCAUGGGUAAAUUAUACUGUUGCUACAACAUUUACGAUGUUAUUGCAUACUUAAAUGAGUAUAGUAGAGGAUAUGUUAUUUUUACAUCAAUUUAACUUCAUACUAACAUUUCUUUGCCUUUGAGAAUGUUGCUUUAUCCUUAAGCAGAGAUUUUCACUGAGCUACUAUGCCCCAGACAUGCAUGAGACAACUGUACUGUUCCUUACUGAAAUUGGUUUUCAUCACGACAAAUUCCAUGAAGUAGUUGGAGGCGGGGGGCUAUCAGUGGAGUUGUCUUGAUGUUGGUCAGUACAGAAUCAGAAGUUCUGUUGGCAAACUUUGAGCACUAUCCUUCUGGAAGGCCAGGAACUGGGGACAUCAUGGCCAAAUGACAGGGCUUCUGCUCAUCCUCUCUGUAAGUAACUUCCUCAUAAAUGAAGUAUAAACACACUACUCUGCAGGAAUUAGAUAUUUUCCUCACUUAAAAUGCAUGAAAUAUCUCCAUAGACAGAAGGAGUAUUCCUUCUGAUACUCAUAAAUGUAGGGGAGACACAGAUGUCACCUUUCAGACACACAGGUUAAACCUCUUUAUAAAGUGGUUUGGAAGAGA
rnacentral:lncRNA from 1 species